rnacentral:rRNA from 1 species
GACGAACGCUGGCGGCGUGCUUAACACAUGCAAGUCGAACGAUGAAGCAGAGCUUGCUCUGUGGAUUAGUGGCGAACGGGUGAGUAACACGUGAGUAACCUGCCCUGGACUCUGGGAUAACCCCGAGAAAUCGGAGCUAAUACCGGAUAGGACCCGGAACCGCAUGGUUUUGGGUGGAAAGUUUUUUCGGUCUGGGAUGG